CUACCAUGCAGUCGACGAGAAGGGUAGCAAUACCUGAGUAAAGUGGCGCACGGGUGAGUAACACGUGACUAACCUACCUUUUAGUGGGGGAUAACCUAGGGAAACCUGGGCUAAUACCGCGUUGGCGGGGUAAUGGCCCACCAAGGCGAUGAUCGGUAUCCGGCCUGAGAGGGCGCACGGACACACUGGAACUGAAACACGGUCCAGACUCCUACGGGAGGCAGCAGUGGGGAAUUUUGCGCAAUGGGGGAAACCCUGACGCAGCAACGCCGCGUGGAGGAUGAAGUCCCUUGGGACGUAAACUCCUUUCGAUCGGGACGAUAAUGACGGUACCGGAAGAAGAAGCCCCGGCUAACUUCGUGCCAGCAGCCGCGGUAAUACGAGGGGGGCAAGCGUUGUUCGGAAUUAUUGGGCGUAAAGGGUGCGUAGGUGGUUCGGCAAGUCUUGUGUGAAAUCUUCAGGCUCAACUUGAAGUCUGCACAAGAAACUGCCGGGCUUGAGUAUGGGAGAGGUGAGUGGAAUUUCCGGUGUAGCGGUGAAAUGCGUAGAUAUCGGAAGGAACACCUGUGGCGAAAGCGGCUCACUGGACCAUAACUGACACUGAGGCACGAAAGCUAGGGGAGCAAACAGGAUUAGAUACCCUGGUAGUCCUAGCCCUAAACGAUGAUCGCUUGGUGUGGCGGGUAUCCAACCCUGCCGUGCCGUAGCUAACGCGUUAAGCGAUCCGCCUGGGGGAGUACGUCGCAGCUGAAACUCAAGGAUUGACGGGGCCCGCACAGCGUGAGCAUGUG
rnacentral:rRNA from 1 species